GACAGAGGUGCCGAGCGUUAGGCGGAAUCACUGGGCUUAAAGCGUGUGUAGGCGGACCGUUAAGUACCUUGUGAAAUCCCACGGCUCACCCGUGGAACGGCUGGGUAGACUGGCGGUCUUGGGCCACCUAGGGGCAGAUGGAACAGACGGUGGAGCGGUGAAAUGCGUAGAUAUCGUCUGGAACGCCGAUGGUGAAACAGUCUGCUGGGGGUGUGCCGACGCUGAGACACGAAAGCCAGGGGAGCGAACGGG
rnacentral:rRNA from 1 species